GGCCCUACGGGGCGCAGCAGUGGGGAAUAUUGCACAAUGGGGGAAACCCUGAUGCAGCGACGCCGCGUGAGUGAAGAAGUAUUUCGGUAUGUAAAGCUCUAUCAGCAGGGAAGAAACCCAACCUUUGGGGUGGCUGACGGUACCUGACUAAGAAGCCCCGGCUAACUACGUGCCAGCAGCCGCGGUAAUACGUAGGGGGCAAGCGUUAUCCGGAUUUACUGGGUGUAAAGGGAGCGUAGGUGGCA
rnacentral:rRNA from 1 species